ensembl:snRNA
GUGCUGUAUGAAAAGAGAGCAGGUCAGCACUCCCCUUGAUGAGGAUGGAAAGGCCCCAGGCCUGAUAACACACAUAUGGUUAAAGUAUUGCCACUGCUUUUC